rnacentral:tRNA from 1 species
GCGCCAGUAGCUCAGUUGGACAGAGCAACGGCCUUCUAAGCCGUGGGCCGGGGGUUCGAAUCCUCCCUGGCGCGCCA